GGUAGGAGGAAGAGGAGGUGAGAGAAUAAGGUUUCAAAAAGGAGAAGGAGCCUAAAGGAAAGAGAAUUCCAGAAGAAGGUGACCUUGGCAAAUAUACAGAUGUCUUCUAGGAUGAAGGAAACUGAUUGAAUUCCGUUCAGCCUCUGCUCAGGAAACUAUGCAUUCCUUAAUGCCACACACUGGCCUAAGAACACCGUGUGUUCGUUAAGGAGAGGUAUGAAAACCAAGGACCUGGUCAGCCAACUAGAACCCUGGAAUCGUCCUUUUCAAGACCUGGUGCUCCAACAUUCCUUGGCUUAACAGAGAGAAGCACCUGGGAAAAUGUGGGCAAGGGUGAGUAGCAAUGAGAAAACCUUGCAUUUCAUGCACGUCCAAAUCCACUCCGGGAAUUGAUUCCUUUGAAACAGUAAUACAAAUGACAUUCCCUUCCCACCCAGGAUUGCAACUAACCCUUGAAAUUGAAAGGUUGAUUUUAGGCUUUUUGCUGUGUUCAGUGAAUCAUUUUACACGGAUAUGCUGAUGCCCGUGGGAAAUCCUCUUCCAUUCAGAAAUCUCAGGGGAAGCAGUCUUCUGGGAUAGAGGUAGACUAUUCCUCCCAGUGUAGCUGGUGCCCAAGCAAGUCUGGAGGUUACACUUCUGAACUAUCUGGAAGCUGAUCACCUAGGUUGCUGACCAGCCGGUUCUCUGGUGAUUCCUUUUUCUCUCUGUCCGCCUCUAAACCAUUCCUUUUCUGCUCAGCCAUUCCGCAGGAAAACCAGCGUGGUCUGGGGUGGAGGUUAGGGUCAAAAUAGUCAAGUCUCCUAUCUAACUGAGGCUUCCUAAAAGCUUUCUGGAAACUAAGUGAAGACAUGGUCAUUACAUCUAUUAUUUGACUUGCAAUGGAGGCCAGCAGUGUGGCGUGCGUGGUGCCGCUAGGAGCAGACCUGGAUUUAAGCAUCACCCUUAUGUGACUGUGAGCCACUUACCUGAGACUUUUGAAUCUGUUAUCAAAUUGAUAAAAUGGUGAUAGGAAGAUUGUCUCAAGGAUGAAAUGAGAACACGCACAUAGGAGUUCCUGCAGCAGCACAGUGGGUUAAGAAUCUGGCUGCAGUGGCUCAGGUCGCUGAAGAGGCCUGGGUUUGAUCCCCAGCCCAUUGUGGUGGGUUAGAGGCAUGCUGUGGCGUAGGUUGCAGCUGUGGCUCGAAUUCGUUCUCUGGCCCAGGAACUUCCAUGUGCCUUGGACGUGGCCAUAAAAUUUUCAAAAUGGAAAAAAAAAAAAGUGCACGUAAAAUAACUUGUGCUCAAAAGUACGAAGUUAAUUCUUUAUGUGUUGAGAUCAGUAAUCUGUUGUCUGUGUCACAUGGAAAACUAACUAUCACACAAAUAAGAAGGCACCGGGCAGCCAGUCAAUCCAAAGAGGGCCCUUUGCAUUUACAGGAGAAAGGGUGUCAGUUAAGCAAAACAACAAAUGUUGCCUUAAAACAUUUUGAUAAGUGAUAAGAGGAUUUACCUAGAAGUCUUUAAAACUAGGUAGAUCGUCAUAUCAUUAUAACAUUUUAAAGUAAUGAUCUCUUGGGAGUUCCCGUCGUGGUACAGUGGUUAACGAAUCAGACCAGGAACCACGAGGGUGCAGGUUCGAUCCCUGACCUUGCUCAGUGGGUUAAGGAUCUGGCAUUGCCAUGAACGUGGUGUAGGUUCGAAUCCCACGUUGCUGUGGCUGUCACGUAGGCCAGCAGCUGCAGCUCCAAUUAGACCCCUAGCCUGGGAACCUCCAUAUG
ensembl:lncRNA